GACGAACGCUGGCGGCGUGCUUAACACAUGCAAGUCGAACGGAAAGGCCCUGCUUUUGUGGGGUGCUCGAGUGGCGAACGGGUGAGUAACACGUGAGUAACCUGCCCUUGACUUUGGGAUAACUUCAGGAAACUGGGGCUAAUACCGGAUAGGAGCUCCUGCUGCAUGGUGGGGGUUGGAAAGUUUCGGCGGUUGGGGAUGGACUCGCGGCUUAUCAGCUUGUUGGUGGGGUAGUGGCUUACCAAGGCUUUGACGGGUAGCCGGCCUGAGAGGGUGACCGGCCACAUUGGGACUGAGAGACGGACCAGACUCCUACGGGAGGCAGCAGUGGGGAAUAUGGCACAAUGGGCGGAAGCCUGAUGCAGCAACGCCGCGUGCGGGAUGACGGCCUUCGGGUUGUAAACCGCUUUCGCCUGUGACGAAGCGUGAGUGACGGUAAUGGGUAAAGAAGCACCGGCUAACUACGUG
rnacentral:rRNA from 1 species